UACGUAGGGGGCUAGCGUUGUCCGGAAUCAUUGGGCGUAAAGCGCACGUAGGCGGCCUUGUAAGUCGGAUGUGAAAUCCCACGGCUUAACCGUGGAAGUGCAUCCGAAACUGCGAGGCUCGAGUAUGGAAGAGGGUCGCAGAAUUCCCGGUGUAGAGGUGAAAUUCGUAGAUAUCGGGAGGAAUACCAGUGGCGAAGGCGGCGACCUGGGCCAAUACUGACGCUGAGGUGCGAAAGCGUGGGGAGCAAACAGG
rnacentral:rRNA from 1 species